GGCCUAACACAUGCAAGUCGAGCGGUAGCGGGCCUGACCACUCUCGAGUGGUUCAGGUGCCGACGAGCGGCGGACGGGUGCGUAACACGUAGGAAUCUGCCCGGUAGUGGGGGAUAGCCCGGAGAAAUUCGGAUUAAUACCGCAUACGCCCUAAGGGGGAAAGCAGGGGAUCUUCGGACCUUGCGCUAUCGGAUGAGCCUGCGUCGGAUUAGCUAGUUGGUGGGGUAAAGGCCUACCAAGGCGACGAUCCGUAGCUGGUCUGAGAGGAUGAUCAGCCACACUGGGACUGAGACACGGCCCAGACUCCUACGGGAGGCAGCAGUGGGGAAUAUUGCACAAUGGGCGAAAGCCUGAUGCAGCCAUGCCGCGUGUGUGAAGAAGGCCCUAGGGUUGUAAAGCACUUUCAGUGGGGAGGAAAGGUCGAAGGUUAAUACCCUUUGGCUGUGACGUUACCCACAGAAGAAGCACCGGCUAACUCCGUGCCAGCAGCCGCGGUAAUACGGAGGGUGCGAGCGUUAAUCAGAAUUACUG
rnacentral:rRNA from 1 species